rnacentral:misc_RNA from 1 species
GUGAAUCAUCGAAUUUUUGAACGCAAAUUGCACUCUCUUCGGAGAGUAUGCCUGUUUGAGGGUCAGCCUAAAAAAAAUCAAAAAGGUGGUUGUUUUCUGGUUUCCUUUGGUGGGAAAUGGGUUAACUUCAACCUUUUGGGUUUUAAGCGGCUUAAAAUUUUCUUUAGGUUUCACGAACGUUUUUAAAUGAUUUUACUUUUAUUAGGUUUAAGGAAUCGUCU